UACGGAGGGUGCGAGCGUUGUUCGGAAUCACUGGGCGUAAAGGGCGUGUAGGCGGUCCGCUAAGUCUGAUGUGAAAGCCCGGGGCUCACCCCCGGAAGGGCAUUGGAAACUGGCGGACUCGAGUCCCGGAGAGGAAGGUGGAAUUCCUGGUGUAGCGGUGAAAUGCGUAGAUAUCAGGAGGAAUACCGGUGGCGAAGGCGGCCUGCUGGACGGUGACUGACGCUGAGACGCGAAAGCGUGGGGAGCAAACAGG
rnacentral:rRNA from 1 species